UACGAAGGGGGCUAGCGUUGUUCGGAAUUACUGGGCGUAAAGGGCGCGUAGGCGGCCGAUGAAGUUAGGCGUGAAAGCCCCGGGCUCAACCUGGGAAUUGCGCUUGAUACUGAUUGGCUUGAGUUCGGGAGAGGAGAGUGGAAUUCCCAGUGUAGAGGUGAAAUUCGUAGAUAUUGGGAAGAACACCAGUGGCGAAGGCGGCUCUCUGGACCGAUACUGACGCUGAGGCGCGAAAGCGUGGGGAGCAAACAGG
rnacentral:rRNA from 1 species